GAUGAACGCUGGCGGCGUGCCUAAUACAUGCAAGUCGAGCGAACAGAUAAGGAGCUUGCUCCUUUGACGUUAGCGGCGGACGGGUGAGUAACACGUGGGUAACCUACCUAUAAGACUGGAAUAACUCCGGGAAACCGGGGCUAAUGCCGGAUAACAUUUAGAACCGCAUGGUUCUAAAGUGAAAGAUGGUUUUGCUAUCACUUAUCGAUGGACCCGCGCCGUAUUAGCUAGUUGGUAAGGUAACGGCUUACCAAGGCAACGAUACGUAGCCGACCUGAGAGGGUGAUCGGCCACACUGGAACUGAGACACGGUCCAGACUCCUACGGGAGGCAGCAGUAGGGAAUCUUGCGCAAUGGGCGAAAGCCUGACGGAGCAACGCCGCGUGAGUGAUGAAGGUCUUCGGAUCGUAAAACUCUGUUAUUAGGGAAGAACAAAGGUGUAAGUAACUGUGCACGUCUUGACGGUACCUAAUCAGAAAGCCACGGCUAACUACGUG
rnacentral:rRNA from 1 species